rnacentral:rRNA from 1 species
GACGUAGGGCGCGAGCGUUGUCCGGAUUUAUUGGGCGUAAAGAGCUCAUAGGCGGCUCAUCGCGUCUGCCGUGAAAACCCGCAGCUCAACUGCGGGCUUGCGGUUGAUACGGGUGGGCUGGAGUUCGGUAGGGGAGACUGGAAUUCCUGGUGUAGCGGUGAAAUGCGCAGAUAUCAGGAGGAACACCGGUGGCGAAGGCGGGUCUCUGGGCCGAUACUGACGCUGAGGAGCGAAAGCGUGGGGAGCGAACAGG